AUUGAACGCUGGCGGCAUGCCUUACACAUGCAAGUCGAACGGUAACAGGUCUUCGGAUGCUGACGAGUGGCGAACGGGUGAGUAAUACAUCGGAACGUGCCUAGUAGUGGGGGAUAACUACUCGAAAGAGUGGCUAAUACCGCAUGAGAUCUACGGAUGAAAGCAGGGGAUCGCAAGACCUUGUGCUACUAGAGCGGCCGAUGGCAGAUUAGGGAGUUGGUGGGAUAAAAGCUUACCAAGCCGACGAUCUGUAGCUGGGCUGAGAGGACGAUCAGCCAAACUGGGACUGAGACACGGCCCAGACUCCGACGGGAGGCAGCAGUGGGGAAUUUUGGACAAUGGGCGAAAGCCUGAUCCAGCAAUGCCGCGUGCAGGAUGAAGGCCUUCGGGUUGUAAACUGCUUUUGUACGGAACGAAAAGCCCUGGGUUAAUACCCUGGGGUCAUGACGGUACCGUAAGAAUAAGCACCGGCUAACUACGUGCCAGCCGCCGCAGUAA
rnacentral:rRNA from 1 species